CCUACGGGUGGCAGCAGUGGGGAAUAUUGGACAAUGGGCGAAAGCCUGAUCCAGCCAUGCCGCGUGUGUGAAGAAGGCCUUCGGGUUGUAAAGCACUUUCAGUGGGGAAGAAAGCCUUGGGGCUAAUACCCUCGAGGAAGGACAUCACCCACAGAAGAAGCACCGUCUAACUCCGUGCCAGCAGCCGCGGUAAUACGGAGGGUGCGAGCGUUAAUCGGAAUUACUGGGCGUAAAGCGCGCGUAGGCGGUCUGAUAAGCCGGUUGUGAAAGCCCCGGGAUCAACCUGGGAACGGCAUCCGGAACUGUCAGGCUAGAGUGCAGGAGAGGAAGGUAGAAUUCCCGGUGUAGCGGUGAAAUGCGUAGAGAUCGGGAGGAAUAUCAGUGGCGAAGGCGGCCUUCUGGACUGACACUGACGCUGAGGUGCGAAAGCGUGGGUAGCAAACAGGAUUAGAUACCCGAGUAGUC
rnacentral:rRNA from 1 species